AACGAACGCUGGCGGCAUGCUUAACACAUGCAAGUCGAACGGAACCGUCGGGUUUGGUGGCGAAUGGAGGCGUAAAGCGUGGGAAACCGCCCGUGGGUUCUGAAUAACUCCCCGAGAGAGGUCCUGGUAACGGAGAAUGUCAUCGGACAUAAGAUUUAUUGGGUUUGGAUGGGGCCGCGUUGGAUUAGCUAGGUGGUAGGGUAAAGGCCUACCAAGGCGACGAGCCAUAGCUGGUGUGAGAGGCUGAUCAGUGGCACUGGGACUGAGCCACGGCCCAGACUCCUACGGGAGGCAGCAGUGGGUACUAUUGGGCCAUGGGCGAGAUCCUGCUCCAGCAAGGCCGCGUGAGUGAUCAAGGGGUUAGGAUUGUAAAUCUCUUUUACCCGGGCUGAUAAUGACGGUACCGGGAUAAUAAGCACCGGCUAACUACGUG
rnacentral:rRNA from 1 species